rnacentral:rRNA from 1 species
GCUAAUACCGCAUAAGCCCACGGUGCCGCAUGGCACAGAGGGAAAAGGAGCAAUCCGCUUUGAGAUGGCCUCGCGUCCGAUUAGCUAGUUGGUGAGGUAACGGCCCACCAAGGCAACGAUCGGUAGCCGGACUGAGAGGUUGAACGGCCACAUUGGGACUGAGACACGGCCCAGACUCCUACGGGAGGCAGCAUG